rnacentral:lncRNA from 1 species
CUAGGUCUGGAUGCCAGUACUGCAUGAUUUAAAUUGCUGUAGCUUUGUAAUAUAUUUGGAAAUCAGUUUGUGUGAUUGUGUUGGUUAAGGUGGAGUGAUAACUCGACUGGGUUUGGGGCCUGCCAGGGGACUGGUGGAGAGUACUUCUGGAUGCGUCUAGGUGUCCAUGGAGGCACAGCCUUAGGUGGUGCAGCAGCACCACUGAGCUAAAUACCCGGCCUUUCUGUAUUGCUUUUAACACAUAAGCAAAAGUGUAUUUUGAAUGAAGACCUAGUCUUCAUGUAAAAUUGUAUGUUAGUAGAAGAUAUGUGACACAAUAGUUUGUGAUUGUUGAGGAAGAAGGACAUUUAAACAAACGGAGGAUUUGUUUUUAAUAAAGUAUAUCAUGUGCAUUGUUUGCAGACAGAAGAAAGAUUGGGAGAAGAUAUUUGCGAUCGCUAAAAUUGACAAUGGGAUAUUUUCUAGAGUAUACAAUGAACUGCAACUUUCAAGAACUCCUUAGAAACACCGCUCCUGCCCAGCGAGAUCUGCCUCUCCCACUGCUCUGCCCAAUCUGCCUUAGACCCACGCCCGGACCCUGAGUGGAUGUGAGAUUCGUCCUUGGAGUCACAGCUGUGAUGGUUCCAGUCCGUGGCUCCACAUCAGGCCAAGAUAAAAAUGCAACACAAUGAAAAGGGCUUCUGGUUUCUCGGCUUCCCUUCUCCCUUCUGAGGUUCCUGCAAUCCAGCUUUGGU